rnacentral:lncRNA from 1 species
CUUCUCGUCUGUCGCCAUGUGAGAUGUACCUUUCACUUUCCUCCAUGAUUGUGAGGCCUCCUUAGCCACAUGGAACUGCCCUGGCAAUCACUAUUCCAGUCUCUGCUUCUAUGAGUUUGACUAUUUCAGAUUCCACAUGUAGGAAAUGCUGGAGUCCUUCAUCCGAAUGGUAAAUGGCACUUGUGACAAAAAUCAAAGUAACUAAAAAAGAAUCUGGUUGAAACCUCAGUAACAGUUGGCCUGUCUACUGCCUCACACUAACAAGUGACCCCCACCUUUACAAGUGUCUGUAAUUCUCACUAGCAGUAUAUUAGAGGGCAAAAGAUUUGAACAGACACAUCAGAAAAGAAGACAUACAAAUGGCCGCUAAGCACUUGAAAGGAUUCUGAACACCAUUAGUCAUCAGUGAAAUGCAAAUUAAAGCCAUAAUGAAUGGCGCUAUACAUUUUCAGAAUGGCAAGGAUUGAAGACCGAAAAAAAUCAAGCGUUGGAGAGUGACAAAUGGGGAGACAGCCGUGGUGCAUGAUCGCCGAAUAAAUACCAUGUGAGGAUACAGCAAGAAGGUGGCCAUCUACAAGCCAAGGAGACAGGCCUCAGAAGAAACCAACCCUUCUUACACCCUGGACUCAGACUUCUAAUCUCCAGAACUUGUUAAUGCACAAGGUCUUGUGUUGAAAAUGUAGAGCCACGAGAUAAAAGCAGCUUGGAUGGCUGACUCAUAUACAAGGACAACUGCCUGAGAGUCACCAGGGCUAUCAAGAAGUUUGCAGAAACAAGAAAUAAACUUUUACUGUUUUAAA